AGUGAACGCUGGCGGUAGGCCUAACACAUGCGAGUCGAACGGCAGCACAGUAAGAGCUUGCUCUUACGGGUGGCGAGUGGCGGACGGGUGAGGAAUACAUCGGAAUCUACUUUUUCGUGGGGGAUAACGUAGGGAAACUUACGCUAAUACCGCAUACGACAUACGGGUGAAAGCAGGGGAUCUUCGGACCUUGCGCGAUUGAAUGAGCCGAUGUCGGAUUAGCUAGUUGGCGGGGUAAAGGCCCACCAAGGCGACGAUCCGUAGCUGGUCUGAGAGGAUGAUCAGCCACACUGGAACUGAGACACGGUCCAGACUCCUACGGGAGGCAGCAGUGGGGAAUAUUGGACAAUGGGCGCAAGCCUGAUCCAGCCAUACCGCGUGGGUGAAGAAGGCCUUCGGGUUGUAAAGCCCUUUUGUUGGGAAGGAAAAGCAGCAGGUUAAUACCCCGCUGUUCUGACGGUACCCAAAGAAUAAGCACCGGCUAACUUCGUG
rnacentral:rRNA from 1 species